UCUCGACUGACUAAGAGCGC
rnacentral:tRNA from 1 species